rnacentral:rRNA from 1 species
ACGAACGCUGGCGGCGUGCUUAACACAUGCAAGUCGAACGGAAAGGCCCUGCUUUUGUGGGGUGCUCGAGUGGCGAACGGGUGAGUAACACGUGAGUAACCUGCCCUUGACUUUGGGAUAACUUCAGGAAACUGGGGCUAAUACCGGAUAGGAGCUCCUGCUGCAUGGUGGGGGUUGGAAAGUUUCGGCGGUUGGGGAUGGACUCGCGGCUUAUCAGCUUGUUGGUGGGGUAGUGGCUUACCAAGGCUUUGACGGGUAGCCGGCCUGAGAGGGUGACCGGCCACAUUGGGACUGAGAUACGGCCCAGACUCCUACGGGAGGCAGCAGUGGGGAAUAUUGCACAAUGGGCGGAAGCCUGAUGCAGCAACGCCGCGUGCGGGAUGACGGCCUUCGGGUUGUAAACCGCUUUCGCCUGUGACGAAGCGUGAGUGACGGUAAUGGGGAAAGAAGCACCGGCGAACUACGU